UACGUAGGGUGCAAGCGUUAAUCGGAAUUACUGGGCGUAAAGCGUGCGCAGGCGGUUUCGUAAGUCUGUCGUGAAAUCCCCGGGCUUAACCUGGGAAUGGCGAUGGAGACUGCGAGGCUAGAGUUUGGCAGAGGGGGGUAGAAUUCCACGUGUAGCAGUGAAAUGCGUAGAGAUGUGGAGGAACACCGAUGGCGAAGGCAGCCCCCUGGGUCAAAACUGACGCUCAUGCACGAAAGCAUGGGGAGCAAACAGG
rnacentral:rRNA from 1 species